rnacentral:rRNA from 1 species
UACGGGGGGUGCAAGCGUUGUUCGGAAUCACUGGGCGUAAAGGGCGUGUAGGUGGUUUAGUAAGUCUGGCGUGAAAUUUUUCGGCUUAACCGGGAAAGGUCGUCGGAUACUGCAAGACUAGAGGACGGUAGAGGCGAGUGGAAUUCCUGGUGUAGCGGUGAAAUGCGCAGAUAUCAGGAGGAACACCAAUUGCGAAGGCAGCUCGCUGGGACGUUACUGACGCUGAGACGCGAAAGCGUGGGGAGCAAACAGG